GUGAACCUCCCAUCCGGAGCAAAACUUAGUGUGUCGUUAAUGGCCGAACUGUUAAAGCGGCGCUUUCCACAGAUGGAGAUGCCAGACCUAACCGUCUGGCCUCUAGGAAGUGUCCGUUCGGUCGUCAGCUCUUUCAGAGUUGAGGCGUCCUUUUGCUUCAGAUGCGGUAUUAAUGUCCGCCCAUCUGCGGUCGAAAUUGUUUUACCCUUUUUCAUUAACCCUUUGUAACUUCACUUUGAACUGAACUAUGUAACAUUGACUGCGGCUGUUCUUGUUGGCUUCGGUCACGAGCAGUAUUCCAAACGCGGGCUUGUUAUCACAUAUUACGAAACGCACGAACAACUCUUAACAACGGAUAUCUUGGUUCUCGUAACGAUGAAGAACGCAGCAAAAUGCGAUACGUAAUGCGAAUUGCAGAAUUCAGUGAAUCAUCAAAUCUUUGAACGCAAAUUGCGCUCUCGGGAUAGGCCUGAGAGCACGCCUCUUUGAGCAUCGAUUCUACCACAAGUCGACGACGUCCUUGCAAAAGGAUGUGCAGUCGGACAUUGAGCCUUGCCGGCCGUUCGCGGCUAAGCUGGCUUCAAAUAGAGCGAGAUACACAGCGAUCCUUCUGACACAUCAGGAGUGAUUUGUGACGUGGAUAACUUCACUACUCGUGAACCUUCC
rnacentral:rRNA from 1 species